GAUCAUGGCUCAGGAUGAACGCUGGCGGCGCGCUUAAGACAUGCAAGUCGAACGGAACUUAGUUGAAUGUUUACAUGAGACGAAAGUUUAGUGGCGGACGGGUGAGUAACACGUGAGCAACCUGCCUUCAAGACUGGGACAACAGAGGGGAAACUUCUGCUAAUACCGGAUAUGACCACAGUAUCGCAUGAUACAGGGGUGAAAGGAGCAAUCCACUUGAAGAUGGGCUCGCGGCUGAUUAGCUAGUUGGUGAGAUAGAGGCCCACCAAGGCGACGAUCAGUAGCCGAACUGAGAGGUUGAUCGGCCACAUUGGGACUGAGACACGGCCCAGACUCCUACGGGAGGCAGCAGGUCGGGAAUAUUGCACAAUGGGGGGAACCCUGAUGCAGCGACGCCGCGUAAAGGAAGAAGGUCUUCGGAUUGUAAACUUUUGUCGACAGGGAAGAAGAAAGUGACAGUACCUGUGGAGGAAGCCCCGGCUAACUACGUG
rnacentral:rRNA from 1 species